UUUGUUGUAUUGAAUUGAUUGUUAUUUUACAGACCCAUAAGGGUGGCUAUUUAUAGCCCAGUACAAACGACUUCUAAUCCAACUAGAACUCUAUCUCUAACUUUAAACAGAAAAACUUCUUAUCCGACUAGAACUCUAUCCCCAAAUCUAAACAGAAAAUGAAUAUUUACAAGUACGAUUCGUACUAUCUUUACGCGCUUCAUGGGCUGACCUCCUCUUUCAUCUUCAUAAUCCUUUUUAAGCCCACAUCGGCCCAAUCACCUCUUUAGCAAGGAGGUAACCGAUCAGGACCC
rnacentral:lncRNA from 1 species